CUUGGGAGUAUAAAGCUGUGUGUGCCAACUUUUAACAACUUUUAUGUUCUUGAGAACUUAAAAAAAGGUCUUGGCAAGAAAAUCUGCAAGUAUAAUGAUGGACCCUGAAAGAAGCUAGGGUGGGGUUCAGUGAGGGAAAGGAAAAUCAAGAACUAAAUGUAAGACUCCUUGCCACAAAACUAUAAAGAAACUGUGUCUUAGUGAGGUUAAGUAUCCAGCAUGACUACAGCUGCAAAGCAGUGGAGCCUGGCUUUGAACUUAGUCCUGUCUGAUCCCAACGCCUUACACAAUUCUACCAUCCCUGUUGUUAAUAUGUGACCUAUUUCAAGUCAUCACCUGCUUCAGAAUUUCACUCUUGAGCCAAAGAAAACAAAAACUGCAAUUAGAGAUUUCUCUAACCUUGUUAAAGGAGACUAUGCACAGCAAUCCAUAAACUCAGUAGGUGCAAUUUCAUAGGUCUGAAGGAGGUGUAGGAUGCAUGACACCCAAAGUAAGAUACACAGUGGUGUCAUCGUGGUGGCUCAACCCAGCAAAGAGCCAAGAGUGUUCCAGUGUUCAAAGGAGAAGACAGUACAACAUAGAGGCCGGGUGUGGUGGCUCAUACCUGUAAUCCCAGCACUUUGGAAGGCUGAGGCAGGUGGAUCAUGAGGUCAAGAGAGCAAGACCA
rnacentral:lncRNA from 10 species